rnacentral:rRNA from 1 species
AACGAACGCUGGCGGCAUGCCUAACACAUGCAAGUCGAACGAGACCUUCGGGUCUAGUGGCGCACGGGUGCGUAACGCGUGGGAACCUGCCCUUAGGUUCGGAAUAACUCCCCGAAAGGGGUGCUAAUACCGGAUAAUGUCUUCGGACCAAAGAUUUAUCGCCUUUGGAUGGGCCCGCGUUGGAUUAGCUAGUUGGUAGGGUAAAAGCCUACCAAGGCGACGAUCCAUAGCUGGUCUGAGAGGAUGAUCAGCCACACUGGGACUGAGACACGGCCCCGACUCCUACGGGAGGCAGCAGUGGGGAAUAUUGGACCAUGGGCGAAAGCCUGCUCCAGCAAUGCCGCGUGAGUGAUGAAGGCCUUAGGGUUGUAAAGCUCUUUUACCCGGGAUGAUAAUGACAGUACCGGGAGAAUAAGCUCCGGCUAACUACGUG